rnacentral:tRNA from 1 species
GUUUCUAUUUAUAUAGUUUAUAAAAAACAUUACAUUUUCAUUGUAAAAUAAUAUUUACAUUUUAUAAA